rnacentral:lncRNA from 1 species
AUGUGUCACGGCCAAGCCACCAUACCUGCUUGCCCUGGGGUCUUGGACACAACAGUAACAGGUGGUGAUGCCCCACUUCUUCUCCAGGUAUUUCAACAGGUGCUGGAAGAGGCAACCAGAGUAAAGCCUCUUCACCUCCAAUUCCUUCUCCAUCUGUCCCCGGUUCCUGUCCCAGCAGCUGCAGGAAAAGGACCUCGUGGCCUUGAGGUCCUUGCUCUGACCUCUGCUGCUGUCGCUGCUGCUGUUCCCAGGGCCUUAAGAAAGCCAUGUGGGCCACACAGGAGUUUCCUGGAAGCAUCUGACCCAGCCCAGGCCACAGGUCCCAAGAUGGGUGGCCUGUCUGUCUCAAGCUGGGACUCAAAGAAGCUCCUCCCUGACCUCUGAAUUACACAUCUUCAAGAAAAGGCCAGAACUUGUUCCACAGUCCAGGAUGGCACUGCUCAACACAGAUCUGAGCCCUUCCUGUUAACCUGUUGUUUUUAAACUUGAUGGGAUGCAUCAUGUGCCCCAAGUCAAGUUCAGCCACCCAUCCUCAAUAAGAAAGAGAAAGAAAGAGAGAGAGAGAGUAAGAGAGAAAGAGAGAGAGAGAGAGAGAGAGAGAGAGAGCAAAAUUAAUAGUGAAAAACAGAAACAGGAGAUUUAUUCCAUGUGGCCACACUGGGCAGAGGGACAAAGAGAUCCAUGACUCCCUCAAGUCCAUCUCUGAGGUCCUAAAGUAAGGUUUAAGUUGUGGCCAAAGAUAUGCACAUGGGAACAGUCCUGCCCAUCGUUGACUCCAAUGGGCGUUGGUGUCAUCCUGUAAGGUGGUCUGAGAAGUUAUUAAAGCUGUGUGCAUCCCCUCCCAAGCUAUCCCUUUCCAUCUCCCAGAAUGAGAUUGCUGGGGAAAUACCAACUUCUUUGGGGUCCAUUGUUUCAAUAGUCCAAUAGUAACACUGAGAGACCUAAGUAUCACUCUUAACUUCUCCAUUAGAGCCAGCACCUGCUAACUGUAGGAGCAAAGCCCAGUGCAGACAUCUCUCCACAUCCCAAGUCAUUGAGGGUCAUUCCUGCAUCUCCUGAUAAAAUAAAAAGCUUUGGG